UCAUGCGCUCUUUAGUUAGUUAUACAGAGAGAAGGAGGAGGAGGAGGAGCCAACUUAGUUACAAAAGCUUCUGAGUGCAAAGCCUCAUACUCCUGCAUGCACUUCUGCUCUGGUUUUGUGGUGGAUUAGCAGCAGUCAUAGUAGAAGAAAAAGAUCAGAUCAGAGUACUUGGGAGAUUUCAAUGUAAACACUUGUGUUUUCAUGAGCUGCUGUUAUCGGCCAUCAAAGGCUGUGUGGCAAGAGGUCUUAUUUUGACUGAUGGGUUAGAUUGGUUGAAUUUAAUAUGCAGAAGAGGAACUCAUCAUGGUCGAGCCCUCAUCGGUUGAAAUGGACUGAUUAAAUUUGCAACUGAUUUUCACCACCGGUCAUUGGCAGACGAAUUCCUCAUGAGUGCCCCUGAUGUGUGGGAGCCGUGCUGUAGCAAAGAUGUUGACGGCGCCACAAGGGAGAUAUUAGAUGCUAUUCAGUUGACGCCCAAAAUCAGGGUCAUGUACUUUGAUGGUUGGAAUGGAUUCGGAG